rnacentral:sRNA from 2 species
CGCCCGUCACACCAUGGGAGCUGGUAAUGCCCGAAGUCGGUUUUGUUAACCACGGAGACAACUGCCUAAGGCAGGACUGGUGACUGGGGUGAAGUCGUAACAAGGUAUCCCUACGAGAACGUGGGGAUGGAUUACCUCCUCUCUACGGAGCACAAAAAACACUUUUAAGUGUUAUUAACGACUUUUACUGACUAUUAUUUUUAAAUCUGUGUUAUGUUGCUAUUGUUAAAUAGUCCAAUAGUGUAUAUCUAGUUUUGAGAGAACAGUCUCUCAAAAUGUUCUUUGAAAACUGAAUAGUAUAUUAAAUAAAAUUAAUAUAACAACGACAUCAAUUAAAACAAAUGUCUAUUUGUUUUGAUACCGAGUUAAUUAUUAAUGAAAAUUAAUAAAUAAUUUAUUAAAAUGUCUUGAAUAAACAUCAACAAUAGGAAAAUAUUGUACUUUUAAAUAAGUAAGAGUUUAUGGUGGAUGCCUUGGGUCUGGAAGUCGAUGAAGGACGUGAUUACCUGCGAUAAGCCUCGUGGAGCUGGAUAUGAGCUACGAAACGGGGAUUUCCGAAUGGGGAAACCUAACCGAAGUAAUGUUCGGUUGCCCUGUAAUGAAUAAAAUAGUUACUUGAGCGAGACACGUUGUGAACUGAAACAUCUUAGUAGCAACAGGAAGAGAAAAUAAAUAAUGAUUCUAUCAGUAGCGGCGAGCGAACGUAGAAGAGCCCAAACCAACGAAUGUUGGGGUUGUAGGACAAUCUACAUGAAGUUACAAAUCUAUAUCAUAGCAGAAAGAGUUGGGAAACUCUGGCAUAGAAAGUGAAACCCUUGUAUGCGAAAUGGUAUAGACUUCUGAUUGUAUCCUGAGUAGGGCGGGGCACGUGAAACCCUGUCUGAAUCUGCCGGGACCAUCCGGUAAGGCUAAAUACUAACCAGACACCGAUAGUGAACUA